GGACAGGGCGCCUGGCUCCGCGCUGGGCUCGCGGGCGGCGGCGCUUCCGGGCCCCAGGCGCCGCCGCGGCCUCUAGAAUUCCGCCGGCUGCGCUCAGGCGUCCGCAGCCAACCCUCCGCCUGGAGACCCUAGGGAGACAGACCCAGGAUUCGUCCUCCGAGUCACAGCUCCGACCACCGUGCAUCCUUUAAGGGUAAGAGGUGCUCCUGAAAUACAGAUUGGAAUGACUUCGUAUCUCCUCUGCCUAAAAACCCUUCCAUACUCCUACCUAUAGACCUGAGUACGCGGACCUCUCACUGUUGUGGCCUCUCCCGUUGCGGAGCACAGGCUCCGGACGCGCAGGCUCAGCGGCCAUGGCCCACAGGCCCAGCUGCUCUGCAGCAUGUGGGAUCCCCCCGGACGAGGUCACAAACCCGUGUCCCCUGCAUCGGCAGGCGGACUCCCAACCACUGCGCCACCAGGGAAGCCCCACUAAAGUAUUUUUUAAUGAAGGAGGUGGGUCAAAAAGGAUCUUGCUGUGAUUUACGUCAUAGAGUGUUCUGCCUAUGUCUUCCUCUAAGAGUUUGAUAGUGUCUGGCCUUACAUUUAGGUCUUUAACCCAUUUUGAGUUUAUUUUAGUGUAUGGUGUUAGGGAGUGUUCUAAUUUCAUACUUUUACAUGUACCUGUCCAGUUUUCCCAGCACCACUUAUUGAAGAGGCUGUCUUUUCUCCACUGUAUAUCCUUCCCUCCUUUAUCAAAGAUAAGGUGACCAUAUGUGUGUGGGUUUAUCUCUGGGCUCUCUAUCCUGUUCCAUUGAUCUAUAUUUCUGUUUUUGUGCCAGUACCAUACUGUCUUGAUUACUGUAACCUUGUAGUAUAAUCGGAAGUCAGGGAGCCUGAUUCCUCCAGCUCCAUUUUUCGUUCUCAAGAUUGCUUUGGCUAUUCGGGGUCUUUUGUGUUUCCAUACAAAUUGUGAAA